GACGAACGCUGGCGGCGUGCUUAACACAUGCAAGUCGAACGGAAAGGCCCUGCUUUUGUGGGGUGCUCGAGUGGCGAACGGGUGAGUAACACGUGAGUAACCUGCCCUUGACUUUGGGAUAACUUCAGGAAACUGGGGCUAAUACCGGAUAGGAGCUCCUGCUGCAUGGUGGGGGUUGGAAAGUUUCGGCGGUUGGGGAUGGACUCGCGGCUUAUCAGCUUGUUGGUGGUGUAGUGGCUUACCAAGGCUUUGACGGGUAGCCGGCCUGAGAGGGUGACCGGCCACAUUGGGACUGAGAUACGGCCCAGACUCCUACGGGAGGCAGCAGUGGGGAAUAUUGCACAAUGGGCGGAAGCCUGAUGCAGCAACGCCGCGUGCGGGAUGACGGCCUUCGGGUUGUAAACCGCUUUCGCCUGUGACGAAGCGUGAGUGACGGUAAUGGGUAAAGGAGCACCGGCUAACUACGUG
rnacentral:rRNA from 1 species